UACAUUGGUGAUUUAGUGAUAGCAACAGUUUUCGUACAAUGUAUAAGCUGGUAAUUUGGGAGAGAGAAGUUAUUAGCUCUACUAGUUACUUUACUUCGCAUCCUACAAUCUCAUAACAACCCUUUCUAAACCACAAUCUCGAAAGCUAACAGAAAAAGACAAUCAUAAAGCAAAAGAAGACACUAACAAACAAAAAAGAAAACGAUUCAAACAUACUAGAAAUUGAAAAAA
rnacentral:lncRNA from 1 species